UCCUAGCCCUGAUUGUAACGGAAAUCCUUUUUAAUCGCCUUUUCGGCGGAUAAAAAGAUUGAAGUGGAAAGCGGGAAAUAGC
rnacentral:sRNA from 1 species